rnacentral:lncRNA from 1 species
UGACAACUUCUUCGUCAUUCUAAUCAAAGUAGGAUGAACCGCGAUGUAAGAAGCUGUAUUUGGACACCUAAAGUAGUGUAGAAUCACUAGGAAGUUGAAUAAUAUAAUAGGAGUUAGCAUGAAAAAGCUAUCCUACUUUCAAAUUAUGUGAUCCUAGUUUUCCAUUUCGGGAAUAUGACAACUUCUUCGUCAUUCUAAUCAAACCAGGAUGAACCGCGAUGUAAGAAGCUGUAUUUGAACACAUAAAGUAGUGGAGAAUCACUAGGAAGUUGAAUAAAUCUCAUAGG